rnacentral:rRNA from 1 species
AACGAACGCUGGCGGCAGGCCUAACACAUGCAAGUCGAGCGAGCAUUUCGGUGCUAGCGGCGGACGGGUGAGUAACGCGUGGGAACGUGCCCUUUUCUGCGGAAUAGUCCUGGGAAACUGGGGGUAAUACCGCAUACGCCCUUUUGGGGAAAGAUUUAUCGGAGAAGGAUCGGCCCGCGUUGGAUUAGGUAGUUGGUGGGGUAAUGGCCCACCAAGCCGACGAUCCAUAGCUGGUUGGAGAGGAUGAUCAGCCACACUGGGACUGAGACACGGCCCAGACUCCUACGGGAGGCAGCAGUGGGGAAUCUUAGACAAUGGGGGCAACCCUGAUCUAGCCAUGCCGCGUGAGUGAUGAAGGCCUUAGGGUUGUAAAGCUCUUUCAGCUGGGAAGAUAAUGACGGUACCAGCAGAAGAAGCCCCGGCUAACUCCGUG